rnacentral:rRNA from 1 species
CAGUCGCCGCGGUAAUACGUAGGGUGCGAGCGUUAAUCGGAAUUACUGGGCGUAAAGCGUGCGCAGGCGGUUUUGUAAGACAGGCGUGAAAUCCCCGGGCUCAACCUGGGAAUGGCGCUUGUGACUGCAAAGCUAGAGUGCGGCAGAGGGGGAUGGAAUUCCGCGUGUAGCAGUGAAAUGCGUAGAUAUGCAGAGGAACACCGAUGGCGAAGGCAAUCCCCUGGGCCUGCACUGACGCUCAUGCACGAAAGCGUGGGGAGCAAACAGGAUUAGAUACCCGCGUAGUCCCUGUCUCUUAUAC